rnacentral:rRNA from 1 species
AUUGAACGCUGGCGGUAUGCUUAACACAUGCAAGUCGAACGGUAACAGGCCUUCGGGCGCUGACGAGUGGCGGACGGGUGAGUAACGCGUAGGAAUCUGCCUCAUAGUGGGGGACAACGUGGGGAAACUCACGCUAAUACCGCAUACGCCCUACGGGGGAAAGCGGGGGAUCUUCGGACCUCGCGCUAUGAGAUGAGCCUGCGUUAGAUUAGCUAGUUGGUAGGGUAAAGGCCUACCAAGGCGACGAUCUAUAGCUGGUCUGAGAGGACGAUCAGCCACACUGGGACUGAGACACGGCCUAGACUCCUACGGGAGGCAGCAGUGGGGAAUAUGGACAAUGGGCGCAAGCCUGAUCCAGCAAUACCGCGUGUGUGAAGAAGGCCCUAGGGUUGUAAAGCACUUUCAAUUGGGAGGAAAAACCUGCCGGUCAAUACCCGGCAGCUUGACAUUACCUUUAGAAAGAAGACACCCGGCUAAACUCCGUGCCAGCAGCC